UGUCCAGGGGCGGGAAUCGAACCUUCUGCUUACCGGGCAGGUGCCAUGUCCACUAGGCGAUUCCCGCCCCUGGAC